GUGUCUCCCCUCAGACUGGGGCUCCCUGAGAAGCCGAUCUACCUGGGAAUGAGGAACACUUCUGAACCACAAGUCCUCUCUAACAAACAGAACUCCCGCUAGAAAUGUAAGCUUCUUGAAGGCUGGGACCUUUGUUUUGGUCACGGUUGCAGCCCAUGUAUCUAGAUGCCUGGCCUAUGUUACAAGUUUCCUCUGCUCUUCACCUGCACCCACUUACACACCCCACCUGCCCACGGUGGGGCUGUGUGGGGUGGUCGCGGUGGCCAGGAGACCUGGAUUCCAGGGUCUCUGCUCCUCUCGAGGUAUGUGAUCAGGAAA